AGUGAACGCUGGCGGCGUGCCUAAGACAUGCAAGUCGUACGAGAUAGUUCCUUCGGGAAUGUGUAAAGUGGCGCACGGGUGAGUAAUACCUAGGUAACUCUCCCUCUCGCUGGGGAUAACUAAGGGAAACUUUAGCUAAUACCGAAUGAUUCGACAGAAACUGCGGUUUUUGUCGACAAAGCCUCACGGCGCGAGAGGAGCGGCUUAGGUCCCAUUAGCUAGUUGGUAAGGUAACGGCUUACCAAGGCUUUGAUGGGUAGCUGGUCUGAGAGGACGACCAGCCACACUGGUACUGGAACACGGACCAGACUCCUACGGGAGGCAGCAGUUAGGAAUAUUGCGCAAUGGGGGAAACCCUGACGCAGCGACGCCGCGUGGGUGAAGAAGGCCUUCGGGUUGUAAAGCCCUUUUCUCAGGAACGAAAAAAAUGACGGUACCUGAGGAAUAAGCACCGGCUAACUCUGUGCCAGCAGCCGCGGUAAUACAGAGGGUGCAAGCGUUAUUCGGAAUUACUGGGCGUAAAGCGCGUGUAGGUGGUUUUGUAAGUCUGAUGUGAAGGCCCGCGACUCAAUCGCGGAAGUGCAUUGGAUACUGCAAGACUGGAGCAUGGGAGAGGUGGACGGAAUUCCUGGUGUAGAGGUGAAAUUCGUAGAUAUCAGGAGGAACAACAGAAGCGAAAGCGGUUCACUGGACCAUUGCUGACACUGAGACGCGACAGCGUGGGGAGCAAACGGGAUUAGAUACCCCGGUAGUCCACGCCGUAAACGAUGGACACUAGAUGUCGGGAGCUCUUACUCUCUCGGUGUCGAAGCUAACGCGUUAAGUGUCCCGCCUGGGGAUUACGGCCGCAAGGUUAAAACUCAAAGAAAUUGACGGGGGCCCGCACAAGCGGUGGAGUAUGUGGUUCAAUUCGACGCUACGCGAAAAACCUUACCUGGGCUUGACAUCCCACGCUAUCCCUAGAAACAGGGAGUUCCCUUCGGGGACGUGGAGACAGGUGUUGCAUGGCUGUCGUCAGCUCGUGUCGUGAGAUGUUGGGUUAAGUCCCGCAACGAGCGCAACCCUCGCCGUUAGUUGCCAGCAUUAAGUUGGGCACUCUAAUGGGACCGCUUGCCGACAAGGCAGAGGAAGGUGGGGAUGACGUCAAGUCCGCAUGGCCCUUACGUCCAGGGCAACACACGUACUACAAUGGCCACUACAAAGCGUUUGCAAGAGUGUAAACUGGAGCUAAUCGCAAAAAAGUGGUCUCAGUUCGGAUCGGAGUCUGCAACUCGACUCCGUGAAGUUGGAAUCGCUAGUAAUCGCGGAUCAGCAUGCCGCGGUGAAUACGUUCCCGGGCCUUGUACACACCGCCCGUCACGCCAUGGAAGCUGGUAGCGCUUGAAGAGGCCGUACUAACUCGCAAGAGAGGUAGGUCUUAAUGGCGAUGCCGGUGACUGGGGUG
rnacentral:rRNA from 1 species